GCAUUAUCUUUCAGUACACGAAAACCAACUAACCAAAGUAAUGUUUUGGGGAUGGUACCAGGCGCACACUACUAUAGAAAUGGGCAUCGCCGCAACACUGUCACUGCCAUUUUUUACAUAAUCGGUGGCGAAAGAAUUUCAGCGCCAGUUCUAUGGCCAUGGAUGUGCAAUGGCCACCCUGUGGUGACUAGUGUUUUCACUAUCAGCUUAGUGUUUUAUCUGGCGGAGAUAACCGGGGUGGGUUUGGCUACCGGACCAAUACACCUAGGCCUUGUUUAGUUCACCUCAAAAUUCCAAAAUUAUUCAAGAUUUUUAUCACAUCGAAUCUUUGGACGUAUAUAUGGAGC
rnacentral:lncRNA from 1 species